GACGAACGCUGGCGGCGUGCUUAACACAUGCAAGUCGAACGGAAAGGCCCUGCUUUUGUGGGGUGCUCGAGUGGCGAACGGGUGAGUAACACGUGAGUAACCUGCCCUUGACUUUGGGAUAACUUCAGGAAACUGGGGCUAAUACCGGAUAGGAGCUCCUGCUGCAUGGUGGGGGUUGGAAAGUUUCGGCGGUUGGGGAUGGACUCGCGGCUUAUCAGCUUGUUGGUGGGGUAGUGGCUUACCAAGGCUUUGACGGGUAGCCGGCCUGAGAGGGUGACCGGCCACAUUGGGACUGAGAUACGGCCCAGACUCCUACGGGAGGCAGCAGUGGGGAAUAUUGCACAAUGGGCGGAAGCCUGAUGCAGCAACGCCGCGUGCGGGAUGACGGCCUUCGGGUUGUAAACCGCUUUCGCCUGUGACGAAGCGUGAGUGACGGUAAUGGGUAAAGAAGCACCGGCUAACUACGUGCCAGCAGCCGCGGUGAUACGUAGGGCGCGAGCGUUGUCCGGAUUUAUUGGGCGUAAAGGGCUCGUAGGUGGUUGAUCGCGUCGGAAGUGUAAUCUUGGGGCUUAACCCUGAGCGUGCUUUCGAUACGGGUUGACUUGAGGAAGGUAGGGGAGAAUGGAAUUCCUGGUGGAGCGGUGGAAUGCGCAGAUAUCAGGAGGAACACCAGUGGCGAAGGCGGUUCUCUGGGCCUUUCCUGACGCUGAGGAGCGAAAGCGUGGGGAGCGAACAGGCUUAGAUACCCUGGUAGUCCACGCUGUAAACGGUGGGUACUAGGUGUGGGGUCCAUUCCACGGGUUCCGUGCCGUAGCUAACGCUUUAAGUACCCCGCCUGGGGAGUACGGCCGCAAGGCUAAAACUCAAAGGAAUUGACGGGGCCCCGCACGAGCGGCGGAGCAUGCGGAUUAAUUCGAUGCAACGCGUAGAACCUUACCUGGGUUUGACAUGGAUCGGGAGUGCUCAGAGAUGGGUGUGCCUCUUUUGGGGUCGGUUCACAGGUGGUGCAUGGCUGUCGUCAGCUCGUGUCGUGAGAUGUUGGGUUAAGUCCCGCAACGAGCGCAACCCUUGUUCACUGUUGCCAGCACGUUAUGGUGGGGACUCAGUGGAGACCGCCGGGGUCAACUCGGAGGAAGGUGGGGAUGACGUCAAGUCAUCGUGCCCCUUAUGUCCAGGGCUUCACGCAUGCUACAAUGGCUGGUACAGAGAGUGGCGAGCCUGUGAGGGUGAGCGAAUCUCGGAAAGCCGGUCUCAGUUCGGAUUGGGGUCUGCAACUCGACCUCAUGAAGUCGGAGUCGCUAGUAAUCGCAGAUCAGCAACGCUGCGGUGAAUACGUUCCCGGGGCU
rnacentral:rRNA from 1 species